UAACACGUGGGGAACCUGCCCCUAAGUCUGGGAUACCACUUGGAAACAGGUGCUAAUACCGGAUAAGAAAGCAGAUCGCAUGAUCAGCUUUUAAAAGGCGGCGUAAGCUGUCGCUAUGGGAUGGCCCCGCGGUGCAUUAGCUAGUUGGUAAGGUAAAGGCUUACCAAGGCGAUGAUGCAUAGCCGAGUUGAGAGACUGAUCGGCCACAUUGGGACUGAGACACGGCCCAAACUCCUACGGGAGGCAGCAGUU
rnacentral:rRNA from 1 species